rnacentral:lncRNA from 1 species
CUCUUUUCAGAUAAUUCUAGCUCGUGUCAAAAUGACAUAGAACAGCCAGCACAGUGACUUCAUAAAAGGUUUGGUUGAUGGUGUCAUUUCAGUAGUGAACACCGCCAACCCAAUCACAUCUCCUCAUAUUGUAUUUGGUGUUCACCUCAUCACCUGGGUUCUUGACAUCAGGUCUUCAUGUUUGACCACAGCACCAAAAAAUCCAGAACAGUGCAGUGAAACAGAAAGCUCCCGAAAAGACAAUUAAAUGGAAUGCAGGUGCCCUUGGGAAACAUUCUGAGUAACUGAAGAGAACAUUAAGAACUUGUCUGAAGCAAACCAGUCCUGAGGUUAAAUGACUUUCCACUGUAAACUGUAUCAUGAGGCUCUGUUCAUUGGAAGGUGACCCUGACUUAAGUAGUUAGAGGUUGCUAAGGCAGAGAAGUACAAAAAAAAGCUACCGUGGAAUUUGUCUCAAGAAACAGCUCUAAUGUUUUCCAAGGAUUUAGAAAAGAAAGUGAGACUAUGCAAUUUAAAGGUUUGCUGUCAAUAGUGCUGAGAUGCUCCAUCAAGCCAAAUACCAUAGCAACGAGAAU